GUUGGUGGUUGUUUUAGUUUGUUUCUGGAAUUUAUUCCAUACAGUUUAUUAUCGUCAUUACAAAAAUAUACUAGCAAGUCUUGUAGCGGUGAGUUUAGAAAGACUUCUUUGUCAACUAGGGAAGUUUUAGCUGCUGAGAGUCUUGCAUUUUCUGGUAUCAUUUACAAUUAAAAAUAAAAAGCAAUUUAUUCUCUUCGAGUUUUGAAUUGAGUCUCUGCUGCCUUCAAUUCUUCCCAAGGUUCAAGCCCCUAGAAGCCUAGGUUGAUUGCUGGCAAGCCUAGAAGAGUCUUUAGUUGGAUCAGAAAAUUGAUUUUCGCUGGAGAGUUUAAAUCAUUCCA